rnacentral:rRNA from 1 species
UACGUAGGUGGCAAGCGUUGUCCGGAUUUACUGGGCGUAAAGAGCGCGCAGGCGGUCGUUCAAGUCGCGUGUGAAAGCCCCCGGCUCAACUGGGGAGGGUCACGCGAUACUGAUCGACUCGAAGGCAGGAGAGGGAAGUGGAAUUCCCGGUGUAGUGGUGAAAUGCGUAGAUAUCGGGAGGAACACCAAUUGCGAAGGCAGCUCGCUGGGACGUAACUGACGCUGAGACGCGAAAGCGUGGGGAGCAAACAGG